CUCGCAAGUACAAUAAACACAACUUUGGCUGGAAUGUUCUAAAUGGGGGUUAGAGUUUGCCAGAACUGUACAAGCUGCCACGAAUGGUUGAUUUGGGGUGAAUUAUCAUAUUAUGAUCACUGGCUCCUAACGGUUCCUUUGUAGCGGUGUGCUACCCACAGCGCUGGAAUAACGACACGCAGGCGAAUCUCUGCAGAAACCAGUGGAGCCUCAGAUCCGAUGCCAGGUCUGUCUUGGUGCAGUGUAAGAAUGGCCCUCCCCAGCAAGACUGGACUCUGCCCUUGGCGAUGGAGUGCUGUGACAUCCAUUACACAGUCCAUACCCUGUACACAGAAAGCCGGGGUUUCCAAAUAGAUUGGCCAAUGCCAACCAACAAGAUUAUACCCAAUAAGACAAAUGUGUUAACAUCCAACAUGUCAAGAUUAAAUUGUUUGUAAAUAUUUAAAUUAAUACAACA